AUACUUAAUAAUGAUAAGCUGAGAUAUAACACAGUAUUAAGCCAAGCCUUCAAUUCACACAAGCUUUUCAAUGAUUUCACAUUACGCCACACAAGGGACGAGACAUUGCAGUGUAAGACCCGCCAGGACCAGUUUGAAUUUGGCGCUUCAAUCAGUAACAUCUAGAUACUUUGACAAUUACAGUUAUAAUGGCCUGAGAUUUAUUUUUACACGCUUAUAAUUCUUUAUAUUUAAUUUUCUAUUAGUUUAGUAUAAUAUAAAAUAAGUUGGUGCUUGUUAUUGAAAGCUAAGUGUGUUGUGGAUAGGUUUGCCUGCGUACUGUGCGGAGCAGGCUGGGACGGACGACACAACCAGACGUCAGACACAAGGCACUAGGUUAAAAGGGUGCCAUAAACUGGUGCUUUAUUUAACGUAUUUUCGCAGAACAAGACAGUGACAGGGGCCGUGGUGGCUGCCUGCGUGUGCUGGUGCAAGCUUGGUGCCUGCCGGGAGGUGCCUGCAGUGCCACAAGGGAUAAUAUUGGUAAGAAACCGGCCCACCACUUCUCCAGCCAGCUAAUUUGCACAGUGUGAUGUAACAGGCGGUAACUGUGAUAGUGUUGUUACGUGUCACCCACAACAACAACACAGGGCUGUCAGAGCAACGGCAACUCUCCGAUCCGGCAAGCAAGUUGGCGGCAGCAAUGGCGGUGGCGGCGGCAGUGGUGGUGAGGUGGACGGCAGGGACAGAGGGGCAGUACAGGCUGCGGACAUCAAGGAGAAGAGGAACGCACGGACAAGCAAGGUGUUAUUCGGCAGUCUGAUCCUGGACCUGCUCGGCUUGAAGGUGGUGCUGCCCGUGUUUCCUGCUCUCCUCGACUGUUACUCCAAGCACAACACCAGCGGCUUGUAUUCCUCUCAGCUCUCCUGUGUGACUUAUUACCAGCAUAUCAUCGGUUUCACUGCGAGGUUCCAUUCUGUCUUGUUUGGCACUGAUUGGCGUGACAUUCAGCAUAGGCUUCACCGUCGGGCACACUGUGGGGGCUGCGUUCUCCCGCUGGGGAAGUACUGGGUGGUUCGCGGCCUCAGCUGUCUACGCACGCACUCUCACUGUGGCUAACAUAAUAUUCUUUGCUGUCUUCUUCCAGGAAUCGCUGCCUGAGGGCAGAAGGAGGAGGGACAUCGGUGCCAGUUUGACCGAGGCUUGGGAGGUGAUCAAUCCUAGGGCUCUGUUCUCCGUCAGCUGUGUCAAGGGCCUGGGCAGAGAAGCCUGGAGUUAACGCUGAUCUUCGCGACCCACCACAAGCAUAGUUACGACUCGUUGGCGCAGGACCGCAAGUUUUCCUUCCUGGGCCUGGUCAUGGCAAUUACACAGAGAGGGUUUAUGCGAAGUGUUAAGACUGGAACUGAAAAAGCAACUGCCAAUUAGGCACACACCUACAUUGUGAUGCAGCUCCUUGGAGGUGGAGAGCUGGCUGCCUCAGAGGAUCACGAAACACGAGAGGUUCACAGAGGCUCGCCUCGGGCUUCGGUCGUCGUGAGGAACCUGGUGUCAGCAGUUCACUACGUGCACAGGAAAAGCAUCAGUGUUCACGGAGACCUAAAGCCAGACAGGGGUGAAAAGGGUUGGUGUUGAGGAUAGACAGAAAAGAAAAGAAAAGAAAGGAAAAAUAAAAAAAGGAAGUUUUUUUGCAUUGAUUUUCCAUCUGCUUAUUUUAAAGAAUUUAUUGCAUGGAAUAUUAUUGAUCUCCAUCAUUUGUAUGGCCUUUAUAAUAAAAAGUAUGAAUUUA